UACAGCCAUAUCAUAUUGAAACACCAGUUCUCAUCUGAUCACCAAAGUUAAGCAAUGCUGUGCUUGGCCAGUACCCAGAUUGAGAACCAAUGGGGAAUACCAAAUGCUGUCAG